rnacentral:rRNA from 1 species
UACAGAGGAUGCAAGCGUUAUCCGGAAUGAUUGGGCGUAAAGCGUCUGUAGGUGGCUUUUCAAGUCCGCCGUGAAAUCCCAGGGCUCAACCCUGGACAGGCGGUGGAAACUGCCAAGCUGGAGUACGGUAGGGGCGGAGGGAAUUUCCGGUGGAGCGGUGAAAUUCGUAGAUAUUCGCAAGAACACCAGUGGCGAAGGCGGCUCACUGGCCCGAUACUGACGCUGAGGCACGAAAGCGUGGGGAGCAAACAGG